CUGUGAGCAAAUUCCAUUCGAGCCCUUACUGUAAACUUGUCUCUUCCGAAUUUUCAUUACAGGUAGACUUCAGCCUAGCUUCUUCGUAGUCGGAUCCCAGACGAGCUUCUACAGCGGGACAGGACCCGCCAGCCAAAUUGCUACUCCUAGCUCCCACAACAACCGAUCUUCGAUCAAGCUUCUACAAUAAGCGGUCUCCUUUCAGCCUUCUGCAAGAACCAGACCUCGACCAAACUUUCAUAGCGAAUGGAUAUCGGAUGAGCUUCUACGACAGAUGGACUCUGAUAGAUGGAU
rnacentral:lncRNA from 1 species